CUUCAGAUUUCCUUUUCUUGAGGUCCUCACAAUUACUCUACAACUCAGAAUAGCAACUGCUGAGGCUGCCUUGGGAAGAGGAUGAUCCUAAACAAAGCUCUGAUGCUGGGGGCCCUCGUCCUGACCACCGUCCUGACCACCGUGAUGAGCCCCUGUGGAGGUGAAGACAUUGCGGCUGACCACGUUGCCUCUUAUGGUGUAAACUUGUACCAGUCUUAUGGUCCCUCUGGCCAGUUCACCCAUGAAUUCGAUGGAGACGAGGAGUUCUACGUGGACCUAGGGAAAAAGGAGACUGUCUGGCGAUUGCCUGUGUUCAGCACAUUUACAAGUUUUGACCCACAGGGCGCACUGACAAACAUCGCUACGAUGAAACCCGGCUUGGACAUCCUGAUUAAACGCUCCAACUGUACCGCUGCUACCAAUGAGGUUCCUGAGGUCACAGUGUUUUCCAAGUCUCCUGUGGCGCUGGGUCAGCCCAACACCCUCAUCUGCCUUGUGGACAACAUCUUCCCUCCCGUGGUCAACAUCACAUGGCUGAGCAAUGGGCACUCAGUCACAGAAGGUGUUUCUGAGACCAGCUUCCUCUCCAAGAGUGAUCAUUCCUUCUUUAAGAUCAGUUACCUCACCUUCCUCCCUUCCGCUGAUGAGAUUUAUGACUGCGAGGUGGAGCACUGGGGCCUGGACGAGCCUCUUCUGAAACACUGGGAGCCUGAGAUUUCACCCCCUGUGUCAGAGCUCACAGAGACUGUGGUCUGCGCCCUGGGGUUGUCUGUGGGCCUCGUGGGCAUUGUGGUGGGCACCGUCUUCAUCAUCCGAGGCCUGCGUUCAGUUGGUGCUUCCAGACGCCAAGGGAUCUUGUGAAUCCCAUCCUGGAAAGGAAGUGAGGAAACUCUGAGUAUCCAAAUCCUGCCUAAGAAUAUAGCAACCUCUCAGAAACGCAACUCUAAAGUAUGUGUAUGCAAGAACUAAUAAUAACAGAGGAAAGAGACGUAUCUUUUCCUUUAUUAUUGGCUGCACUAAGUUCCCAGACUUGUUUAUAUAUUCAUUAAUUCAUCAAAAAUGCAAAAAUGGUCAUUGAAUGCCAUUAUCGCAGUAAGUACCGUACUUUGUUAUGAGUAUCAUUAAAAUAGUGUGAAAACAGAUACAUUCAUUGUCUUCAUAGAAUUUACACUCUAGUGGGAAGAAAAUACAUAUAUUACAUAAUUCCACAAACAUAUAAUUACAAACUGUGAAUAAUUUAUAAAGGAAAGAAUGAGGUAAAAUGAGAGAGUGUUGCCCAGGAACCAGGUGUAACUUGGGGGAGUUUAGAGGUGUCUUGAAGAAAUGUGCCUUGGGAUGAUAUACGAUGGUAUACGGUAUGUAAAGGACAAGGUUGAGGAGGGCAGAGCAAAUGUUUGAGAAACUCUAACAAUAUGAAAGAGAUGAGAAUAAAGUAAUGAAAAUUAUCACAGAUUUAAUAGAGGAAGCUCAUGUAACAGCAAACAAGUUGAAAGUCUUUCUAAUUAGAAUUCUUAAUCUGUAAAAGUAGUAAUAGAAUGCUAUAAACAAUUGGAAAAUUUAAUAGAAAGUUUGGAAAAUUAAAUCAAGAAAAUCUCACCGAAAUUUAAAAAGACAAAGAAACGUAAUAUAUGGUAGAAAAGAUAAAACAGAGAAUAGACCAAGGAAGUCCAACCUCAGGUGACAGAGCCAUAGAGACCAACGGAGAAGAUGAAGGGAGGAAAUUACCAAAACAAAUAAUAAGGGAAAAUUUUCCAAAUGUAAAGGAACUAUCCUUUACAUGGAACGGUAUUGUCAGGUACUUAUCAAAAGUAAUAAAGACUCAUUCCGAAAUAAAUCAUUUUCAAAAUUUUAGAACCUCAGGGGUUAAAGAAACACCAUAAAAUAUUCCAGUAGGGAAACCAAAAUGAAACAAACUGACAACAGACGAAAGUGAGACUGCCUGAAGCUUCUAUUAUUAAGAUAAUGGGAAAGGCCUUGAAGUUCUAAUGGAAAAUUAUUUUGUAUUAAUAAAUGUAGACCUUUUCAAAAUCACAAUCAGGUGUGGAGAAAGAACAAAAACACUGUUGGAUACGAAAGGGCAUACCUAUUACCUACCACACGUAGUUUUAUUAUUAGAAGUUGACUAAGGAUACUACUUAGUAGAGCGAAAUUGUUAAUCAGGAAACGGUAAGGUAAGGAACCCAGGAAACUGAAUUUAACCCAGGACCUCACUGAAAGGAGGUCCUACUAUAGUAGCUCCUUGGCAAGUAAAGAACAUCUGAUACAUGAGUGAUAUUUAGAAAACGAUAAAGAGUUUUUCAACUUUUAGAAUUAAGCUAAGAGCGAAGCUCAAAGACACUUAUUGUUACAACAGAAUGUCAAAAUUGUCAGCUUUGACAAUACUGAAGAAAGGGUGCAUGCACCUCAUUUUGGCAAGUGGAAGCAUAAAGGGAGGGGAAUGGAAGGGUAACAAUGCCAAUAACUUCACCUUCCAAGGAGAAAAGAGACAUUGCCCAUAGUUAAGAAAGAAAUCACAAAGAUCCCUACACUUAAAUUACAUUUGUAACCAAAAGAAUUAUGUAAGAUGGCUCAUGAAUUAAAGCAGGGUUUUAGAAAUGGGACUAUCAUUCAGUCACAAAAAGGCUUCAGCCUAACUUCCCCGGAGUUCUGAAGCUGUAAGAGACCCUCAGAGUUGGCCCAAAUUAGGGAAAGGGUUUAGGACCUUUAUACCCCCCACACUGACCAGUCAUUCAUAGGAGUGGAGUGGUUCUUCUUGGGAAGUGUAGUAAAAUCCGAUGAGGCAUCUUUCACCACCUAUGGCAAUCUGGGGAAUGACUGACAGCUAAGGGCUUUCAGCCAGCAGCAUUCCCAGCAAUGAGAGAAUAAAUCCUUCUGUCCCAAAGAGAGGAGUUUAGGUAGAACAGAAUGGCAUCCACAACAGAAACGGUGUUCUAGUUCCUGGGAAUACAUAAAUACUCAUGUGGAAGUAAACAAACUUUUUUUUUUUUUUUUGAGACAGAGUCUCACUCUGUCACCCAGGUUGGAGUGCAGUGGCAUGGUUUUGGUUCCCUGCAACUUCCGCCUCCUGGGUUCAAGCAAUUCUCUGCCUCAGUCUUCUGAGUAGCUGGGACUACAGGUGCCUGCCACCAUACCUAGCUAAUUUUUGUAUUUUUAGUAGAGACAGGGUUUCACUAUGAUGGCCAGGCUGGUCUCAAACUCCUGACCUCAUGAUCCGCCUGCCUCAGACUCCACAGUGCUGGGAUUACAGACAUGAACCACCUGUGCUCGGCCCAAAUUAAUACUAUUUAAAAUUCAUCAUCUAUUUAAAAAUUUAAAAUCGAACUACCACAUGAUCCAGCAAUUCCACUUCUGGGUACGUCUGCAAAGAAAAUGAAACCAGUGUAUUCAAAAGGUACAAAGAAGGGCAGGGUGUGGUAGCUCAUGUUUGUAAUCCUACCACUUUGGGAGGCUGAGGCAGGUGCAUUGAUUGAGCCCUGGAGUUCAAGGCCAGCUGGGCAGCAUGGUGAAACAGUGUCUUUACAAAAAUUAACCAGAUAUGGUGGCUCAUGCCAGUAGUCCCAGCUACUCCAGGGACUGAGGUGGGAGGAUGGAUUGAGCCUGGGAAGUCAAGGCUGCAGUGAGCUGUGAUGGCACCACUGCACUCCAGCCAGAACUAGACCACGUCUCAAAAAAAAAAAAAAAAGUACAAAGUUUCAGUUAGACAGGAGAAAUAAGUACUGGAGAUAGACUGCACAGCAUGGUGACUAUGGUUAAUAACAUACAGUCGUCCCUCAGCAUCCAUGAUGGACCGGUUCCAGGACCCUCCCUGUACACCAAAAUCUAUGAAUCCUCAAGACCCUUAAUAAAAACGGCUUAGUUUUUGCAUGUAACCUAAGCCUAUCUUCCUACAUACUUUAAAUCAUCUCUAGAUUACUUGUAAUACUCAAUGCAAUGUAAAUGUUGUUAUACUGUAUUGCUUUUGAAUUGGAAUUAUUUUUAUCAUUAUAUUGUUAUUUUUCAUUUUUUUUCUAAACGUUUUCCAUCGACAGUUGAAUGAAUCAGGGGAUGUGGAACCCACAGAUACAGAGGGCCAACUGUAUUGCAUAUUUGAAAAUUGCUAAGAGAGUAGAUUUUAAAUAUUCAUACCACAAAAAAGUAAAGCAAUGGAUAUGUUAAUUAGCCAGGUUUUAUCACACGUAUCAAAAAGUCAAGUAGAACCCUGUAAAUACGGUUAUAUGUCAAUUAAAAAUAAUGAAUUUAAAAUUCUUUUAGAGUGUAACAUUCUUAACUUACUCAGAUAAAGUUUUCUGUUUUUUUAUUUUUUAACUUGUUUUUAAAAAAUCAUCUCUUAGCGUCCGUUAACUCAAUUGAUUCACUCUAUUAACUUAAGAACUCUCUCCCUUAAGUUAAACAUUUCAUGAUAAUCAGGAAGGGCAAGGUUAUGUUGCAAUAAGAUCUUAACCCACAGUAAAAAGUAGAUCUCAGUGGCUCAACUCAAUAAAGAGACUUCAUUCCACAGUUAUUCAAGUUUCCAGUUAUUACAGAGUUUCCAGCAACUCAUACACCAUCAUGCAUCUACUUGCAAGUUCCAUUGGCUGCUGUUAGUCAAGUGACCCCAACCUAAUAGGAGAAAACACUGGGAAAUGUACAGGAGCUUUGGAAUGUUGGCAAGCACCACUGUCUCCAAAAGAUACACUCUUAUUAUCUAAGGAUCAAAGACACACAGAAACUGAGGACACCCUGGACAACCUGGCACAUGCCUUCCCCAUUUCCCCAAAAGCAUCACUCUCUUUUGAUCCAUAUGGUGAAUGACAGGGCCCACCCUGAGGAAGAGAACAAACUCAGCACAAAACGUUUUACUCCAUUCAGCAUUUUGCUUGAAAGCAAUUCAGACUAUAACCCUGGGGAGCAGAAUCUAAAGUUUUGGUGCCUCUUUGUGAGCCAGUGUCUCUGUCUGAGGACCUGCAUGACAGCCUGGAGUACAGGAGAUGACGGUCCGAAGGAGACCUAGUUCUCCAUUCUGACCUCGUCCAUCAGAAGGAAGAGCCUGCCAAAAACUCCUCAGGCCCAGUGUGUGGGUGAGGAAGAAAGGAAGAUGGGAUGUCUGCUUUCAGGGUCAUGGGCCUUCAAAGCCUUACAGAAGCUCUUAAACUCUGUCUUCAUGACAAAACUCAAAGACUGAGAUGUAGACCAGCUUCAGGGCUGGACUCACAUCAAAGGGGCCACAGUGUGUAGUGACCUCCCUCAAAACCAGGAAGAGAGUGUCAUCAGGAAUCAACAGGUUUCUAUGUCAAUACAAAGGGAGCUUAGCCAAGGAAUGGGAUGACUGUGAACAGGUACCCCAGUGAGGGACCCUAGAACCAGAGGGAGUUCUUCCAUCUGUCCUGUGGGCUCCACAAGAAACAAGCCACCCCUAUACCCCUCCACUGUGGGGAGGCUCUGGAGGCUGAGGUGCUCCACGUGGCUAGUGUAGACAUUUGCACACUGGAAGUCAUUUCCAGCACCACAAGGAUCUGGAAAAUCCAGUCCUCCUUUCUAAUAAGAGGAAUGGGCACAAUGCUGGUUGUCAGCAUCUCGUGCACAGGACAGUGUUUUUGAGAGGUGUGCAUGUUACCAAGUCUUGGCCAAUCAGAAUCGUUCCUAAAGUUGUUAAAACUCUGGCAGGCAUUCUAGAAACAUUUACAACGGAGACGCACAGACACACACAGAGAGAGAGAGAGAGAGAGAGAGGAAGAGAGAGAGAGAGUUGAGAUAAAAUAUGAAGUGAUAAGAAAGAGAAAUCCAGAAAAAUAGAAGCAAAAAGAAACACAGAUAGAAAAAAACUGCAGAUAAAUAGUGACAAUGGAUUAGAAAAAUAGAAAGGCAACAAUGUAGUGAAAGACACAACAGGAGAACAGAGACAAAGAUGCAGAGAGACACACGGAAGAGCUAUACAGGGACAAAGAGAUACAGAGAAAGAGGCAGAUGCCCAGAUAGAGAAAGAGAGAGGUGAAGAUCUCAUUGAAUAUCUGGAACUUGUCACUUCUGAAAUCAACUUGACUAUGCUUCCUUUGGACCAUGAACAAAAUAUAUUUGGGUUUCUAUCAUUUAGAAUCAAAAAUAGCACUUUUAUUGCUGGUUAUGCUUUCUUAAAAAUAAAAAUUAUUCUUGAUUGA